AAGACCAUACUUUCAGGGAUCAUUUCUAUAGUUCACUCAUUACUAGAGAAGCUGCUCUGAACACGCAGGGGCACAGGAAACCAUGAGGACGAAACACAGUACUCCCUUCUGAGCUUGAGGCCAGCUCUUCUGCUUCACUGCACCUGCCAUUUGCCAUUGAUGAUCAUUCUCUUCCUGAAGGAGAAUGAGAGAGAAAGGAUGCAGUCUGAGUGGU
ensembl:snoRNA U3 Small nucleolar RNA U3